GAUAGAGGAUCUUCGACUAAAUGCCAACACGUCGUCCGUGUCGAAUGUCGGAGCCACCACAUCCUGUGGA
rnacentral:sRNA from 1 species